rnacentral:rRNA from 1 species
CCUACGGGAGGCAGCAGUGAGGAAUAUUGGUCAAUGGGCGGGAGCCUGAACCAGCCAAGUCGCGUGAGGGAAGAAGGCCCUAAGUAUUGUAAACCUCUUUUGCCAGGGGACAAAGGCGGCCACGUGUGCCCGCCCGAGGGUUCCUGGAGGAAAAGCAUCCGCUAACUCCGUGCCAGCAGCCGCGGUAAUACGGAGGAUGCGAGCGUUAUCCGGAUUUUGUUGGUUUAAAGGGUGCGGAGGCGGGGUGUCAAGUCAGCGGUAAAAUGGCGGGGCUCAACCCCCGCCGGCCGUUGAAACUGGCGGUCUUGAGUGGGAGAGAAGUAUGCGGAAUGCGUGGUGUAGUGGUGAAAUGCAGAGAUAUCACGAAGAACCCCGAUUGCGAAGGCAGCAUACCGGCGCCACACUGACGCUGAGGCACGAAAGCGUGGGUAUCGAACAGGAUUAGAUACCCUGGUAGUC